rnacentral:ncRNA from 1 species
CCAACGAAGCACCGGUAAAUAGCUGGGGUAACUAUGACUCUUAUCAAAGUAGCGAAAUACCUCGUCACUUAAUUAGUGACCUGCAUGAACGAAGCUAUGAGGUUCUCACUGUCCCAAACUGUCUCUCAGCGAACCAACUGUAGUGGGAACGGUCACUAGAUAUCCAGCGGGGAAAGAAGACCCUGUAGAGCUUCACUUUGGUCUAGUCUUGUAUAGUUCCUGCGGGGGUGUAGACUAGGUGGGAGAGCAAUCGAUUCUGAAAAACCACUACCCUGUUUGGAAUUAUGCUUACCUAUCACAAGGAAUAGGACUAGAUAGAAAGUUUGGCUGGGGCGGCACACCUUCGAAAGAGCAGCGAAGGUGUCCUAAGUUGAGCUCAGUGAGGACAGAAAUCUCACGUUGAGGAUAAGGCCAAAAGCUCAAUUUACUGUGCCUUUUUGUACUAGGAUCAGUUACGAAAGUAAGGCCUAACGAUCCCUAAAUAGCCUCAGGUGCGUGAGGAUUGGGGUGACAGACAAGUUACCUCCGGGACAACUGGCUUGUGGCUGCUAAGAGAUCAAAUCAACGCAGCUUUUUGAUUCUUCGAUGUCGGCUCUUCCUAUCCUAGUGAUGUACAAGUUGCUAAGGGUCGGAUUGUUCACCCGUAUUAGGGAUCGUGAGCUGGGUUUAGACCGUCGUGAGCCAGG